UACGGAGGAUGCAAGCGUUAUCCGGAUUUAUUGGGUUUAAAGGGUGCGCAGGUGGUUUAAUAAGUCAGUGGUGAAAGUCUGCCGCUUAACGGUAGGAUUGCCAUUGAUACUGUUAGACUUGAAUAUGGAUGAGGUAGGUGGAAUGUGUAGUGUAGCGGUGAAAUGCUUAGAUAUUACACAGAACACCGAUUGCGAAGGCAGCUUACUAGUCCAUGACUGACGCUGAGGCGCGAAAGCGUGGGGAGCAAACAGG
rnacentral:rRNA from 1 species